GUUGGGUGUGGUGAUGCACACCUGUAAUCCCAGCAAUUCAGGAGGCUGAGGCAGGAGGAUCACAAGUCUGAGGCCAGCUUCAGCAACUUAGAGAGACCCUGCCUCUA
rnacentral:sRNA from 1 species